GUCCCAUUUUCAUGAUUACGAAAAAGCUGAAUCGAAACCGUCACCAAAGAUAAACCAUUCAUGAUGAGCUGUUCUCUGAUGCUAACUACAAGGAAAUCGAAGAGGAAGAAGGCUCCGACAAGGACGAUGAUUCCGAUAGAAGACCACGGGGAAUUCAAUCCAGGUUUGCUACUGAUGGAUGCAACACAUUCCAAAUCGCUUUCAAAGCUUCCAUGAAGAGUAAAUGAGAGGAUGCAAUGGGCCACAGUUCUAUCAGCACAUAAGCAUCUUAUUUCUCAGAUUUGACCAGAAGAGGAAGCUGAAAACAAGCCCAAAGGGUCAAGCCAGAAAGGCAAAACAUUUGGUUGCAGAGAAAGGACAUGUUAAACCUGCAAACUAUUUAGAUUCUCAUUAGAAUAUUCUUAUAGGUAUUGCCACUAAAGGAGGUAUGCUUUCCUCAGUGCUGAAUUCAGUGGCUAACUGUCAGAUACAAGCAGAAGAGAGGCUAAAGAGAUCUGUAGUGCUGGUCCAAGCCAUGUUCAUGUCUAAGCAAGCCCAAGAAAAUUACAGGAGGAUGAAGCUCACUCAUGAAGAAGCUCAGGUAAAAUUAUGUCUUGCUUUUCUUUUUUCAUGUUCAGAGCCUCUCAAUUUAGAAAGACAGACUCUAAACGAUACUAUAAUAAAUGGAGAGUUUCUGUUGAUGGUGUGAUUCAAUUGGAGUAUGAGUGCUUGCAAGAUAUUUGAUCAAAAUGGUGGCUUCGGAGAAGUAAGAGAUGUUGAUCUAAACAUUAUGUGAACGGAAAAGGAUACUUUCCACCUUCAGAACUGUAUUUCUUGUGUGUUAUGUGAUAUCUUAUACUUCAAAAUUUAGGAUAAACAAGUCGUCAUUUCUCAUCAUUUCUACGAUGGUGGAAAGGAGUCUUCUCGGGUUUCAUGGAAGAGAAAAAGUCUCACAGAUGAUGAAGUAAUCAUUCGGAACAAAGUUGUGAAGGAAAUAAUUGAAGACACAAGUACAUUACAAAACAGAGAAAGAUUUCUCAUACUAUCAUGAGAGAAGAAUCAAACCUUUCGUCGAUCCUUCAAGAAGUUCGUGGGACCCUUUGAUUUCAUAUGGUUCUUUUGACCUCCAGUUACUUCUUUGUCAAGUCAUUAAGCUUAAGGAACAAAACACCACAUAACCUCCUAAAGCUGCUUAGACCAGUGGGAUAAUGAUAAGUUCUUCUCUUAGAACAAUUGGAAGGCAUGGGAUGCUUUUCUUAAAGCAGACUGAGAGCCGCCGGGUAAUUAUAGAGACUAUUCAUUCUGCUGCUUUUGCUGAGAAGAAAGUUAGUGCUGCCUAUAAUAUCUCAGCUGAGCCAUAAUCUUAUUUUUAAAUACGAGUUGAUGUUGUUAAGAAAAAAAGAGUUGAUAAGGAGCUCACAAUCAUAUUCUUUCCAGCCCAAAAUCAGCUUCUCAUUCGAGACAAUUCGGUAGCCAGUCAUUAGGUUCUAUGCAAAUUGUAAAAAAGCGAAGAAUACUAUAAUGAUGCAUUGUGAGUUCAGAUAGACAAGAUUUUUGGGUUCGAGUUCUUAUUACGUCUGAUGAUGCUAAUGUCUUUGAUCGGUAAACAAUAGACAGGGCUUUAAGUGUCAUCGCACUAUGGCAAGCAUGGAACAAAGUUUCAAUAUAAUUACAAAGCCUAACUAAACUUUAUGGGGAUAACUACCGGGUGAUAAACGGGAUAUGAGCUUGAGCUUCCCACCUUAGAUUGUCAGAUUCACUGGAAAACUGGAAAAUGUCUUUGUUAUUUUCAAAAGUAUUCAUCAGACAAAUAUUUUCGGCCAUAUCCUAUUCCACUUUUUAAUUUUGACAUAUACAUAACAAAUUUGUUAUGAAAUAUCUUCCUAUUACUUCAUCAGGAUGCCAAAAGAAGAGACUAAAUAAAAAAUAAAGUAACAUUUAUUGGAACAACAAGAUUCAAGAUAUUCUAUCACAUAUAAACAAUCUGUUAAAUAAUUUUCAUAACAUACUACAAUGCGAUUAGAUGAAAUCUAAAAAUAUAGUAGAAAGGUAAAAAUAAAACUAAACCAAAACUAAUCAAACGUUAAAGUCAAUAGAUUAAUAAGAAAGCAAUAUUAAAUGUAAGGUAAAUCAAUCACAUAAACUUAUAAAAAUCUUAUAUCAUUUUAAUGUAAUUAAAAAUGAAUAUCAGUUAAAUAAUAAAUAACUCAACUGUUACAUUUUAAAAAUCAAUCACUAUUCAUAUUACUGAAAAAUUUCUUAAUGAUGUGAGCAUAACAAACGAUAUAAAACUGAAAUAAAACACCCAUUACGUAUGAAAAAGGUAAAAUAAAUAAAAAAAUUAUUUUCGUUCCUUAAAAUUUAAGUAUUUUAAUCUUAAGUGAAUUACAACUUUUAAGGUUUAACAAUAAUUUCAUUAUUUAAACAAAAAAUAACAAUUUCAUGACUUAUGAAAUUAUAUGCCGUAUACUUUGUUAAAUUUCUAAACAGGGCAAUAUAAUUUUAAAAUUCUCGAGUCUUCAAUGAAUUUUAUUAUAUUUACACUCAGGUGUGCUAGCUUCACAAAAAAAAAACGAUUACUUUUACUAAGAGUUAAUGUUGGUUUAUAUACUGAUAAUUUUUAUUUUCAAAAUUUGGAUUUUUUAAAAAAAUUAUUAAAUUUAGUAAAAUGAUACGAAAAAUGUAUUAAAAUAUUAUUUUAGUAUAAUCAAAACCCUUGUUCUAAAAAGCGGCCGAGUUGCCGAGUAAUCGUCCGCAAAAUCGUGAAGCGGUGGGUCACCGUGGCGAGUUUCGCCAGUUCGGAUGCAUUCCACGCUAACCCGCGUUUUAACCGCCCAGAACGUGGUAUAAGGUUACACGCCCGCGUAAUGUUUUUUUUUUUGAAACUACCCCGCGUAAUUUUGUUUCCGGAAAGCUCAAAAAUCUCUGAAAAUGUUUCUUUUUGUAGAUCUGAGAAAAAUUACUUGAUCAUCAUUUUUAAGAUUUACGUUAACAAAGUUGACUAAUCAAAUUAUACAGAAAGAACCAUGGAUGGCCAAACGUUUAAUCGCAGAACCAAAUAAAGAAGGAAGAAGAUGAAGACAUACAUAUCUUUUUAUAUUUAUUAAAACAAAGUAAAUAAUAAAAAACUAUAAAACACCACCCUUCACGGGUUGAACCACUUUUUAGUAGGUCCAAAAGGUUUAAACAAAACAAUUGACCUAAGUUUUAAUAAUAUUUGGAAUCCACAAAUGAAGAUAUGUACUAGUGAGUACUAUAACCAUAAAAAAUAAAUCCCCGAUUACUCCCCGAUUUAUUUCCGAUUUUUCAAUAAAUCGCUAGGCGCUGGUCAUCCGCACGCGUUGCGCCUAGCGAGUUUCCGAACAAGGAUCAAAACUAAAAAAACUAUGAGCAAAUAUUGCAUCAUGGACAAAAACAAGACUUGAUCAACGAUAAAAUCAUAUAUAGUUUGCUAAAUUUUCACAUUUGAAAGUCUCAGACAUCCAUCACAAACACAGCCUUAAAUCUUUCUCCUCUUCCCUACUCUCACAAUACAAAUGACAAACUGAUAAACUAUUAACUUUCGCAAAACAAAAUUGGAGGCAAAGCUAAAUGCAAAUUUCUCAAAUGAUCGCUUGACAGUGACAAUGAAUGUUAACAAAGAACCAGACAUCGCAAACAUAACCAAUCUUCUAUUCUUGAUCUCUUUAACCUCCAAUUUUGCAAAAGUCUUUGGGUCCUUUGGCAAGUCUAAUUCCAAAAGCUGCUAUUUGGGUAUAGCAAAUCCUCCUCUUCUCCCGACAGCUCAAUUCAUACUAUAUAACUUUUAUCAACUUCCAUCAAAAUUAUUUGACUGGUUUGUUCCGAGCAUGAAGAUUUAACAAAAUGUCUGGCGUAUAUACACAAGUUUUAGAAUUUGAACUUGCGAUGUAGGAAUAAAAAAAUAAACAAAAGCAAAUAUUUUUUUUACAUUUAUAUACUAAAAUUCGAGAAAAUUUAAUAUAUAAGUAAAUAUCCGGGCUACAAAAAUCCCUAGUAAACUUAGUGAUUCCAUAUGAUUAGUAGAGGCACCUUGUUGCCAAUAUAGUUGAACAAAUAAGUUUUCCUAAAUAAAUGGAAAAUAUUUUUAAUACAUAAUAAAACAAGAAAGUUUAGAAAACUAUACAACUGCAAUAAAGUAUUAAAAUCCGAAGGCUAAUUUUAAAAAUUAAAGAAAAAUAACAUGUUAUUGAAUGCUAAUUUUAUAAAAUAAAAGGAAAAUAAAAUGAUUUUCAAUAUCAAAAUAUUACACAAGUUAGCCCUACUGUUCUCAGAACUUUGAAAGGUACUGGCUAUGUACCCAGGCAACAAAAUUUAUUAAACAAAAUAUAUUUAACAAACGGUAUAGAACCAAAACAAAACAAAAAAUGUUGUUUGCGAUGUGUGUCAGGUUACAAAAGACUCAGCAACGGCUUUGAAAGCCUAAGCCAGGGAUAACUGUAUUUUGAUUUUUGUUUCUCAUCAUCCACAUUCACAUUCUACAACAAUUAUUUUUACAUAAAAACUUAGAACAGAAGUAAAAGAUUUUAAAACACAGUGGAAGCCUCAGACCGUCCUAGUCAAUUAGAUACUUUUCAACACUGAAAUUUCAGUAACCAUUCAAUCUAAUCAUCACCGGCUUUGCAUAUUAAUCAGACAUAAAAACAAAACAAACGAGUAAACCACAAAAAAUCAUCAGAUCUUCCUAUACAAGUGAAUCAUAAUACUCAGAUUUUUUCUGAGAAUUCAACAACUUGGCAAAGUGUUCCUCAUUUGAUUAAGCAAUUAUUAGAAGACAAAAUUUAUAACAUAUUGUUCCCCGACGUCCUAAGUAACAUCAUUUAAAUUGAUGAACAGGAUAGCGAGGGGAACUAUGUUCACUGUAGGCUAAAACAUACACAACAAUGCUUCACAUGUUAAUCAUUCAAAGCAUGAUUCUAGUUAAGAUGUUAAAGCCACUACUAUAAAAAUUGAAGAACUCAGUCCCUUAGAUGUUCAUAAUGAAUGCGAUCAUUACCGCUAUCAUUACAGGUCUGUAAAUUGACUCAUCACUGUUCUUCCCCCACAAACAACUAUUACAAAACAAAGCAGCAUAGAUUAAGACAAAACUUAAAUCAAGAUAUGUAGUCGCUCAAGUUACGAUCCCGAACCGGCACCAAACUGAAUUAACAGUAUGAUGCUGUGAAUUGAUUAGGGAGGAAUAUGAAAUAACGAGAGCAGCACGAUUGAUAUUGCUUCAAGGGAACGAAUCAUACGGGAACGGACAAAUCCCAUCGACUAUCUGAUGAAGCCAAAAGUAAAACCUAAACAAACAAGACGAUUACAAUCGAAACACUAGUUAUUAGGCUGAAGAACUGUGUGUUGAGAUUGUCAGCGUGUGUGUAAUUUUUAUAUAGUGGUGAAGUCUCCGUAAAGGUCCUCGAAGCCCUAAGGAAUAGGAUUAGGGUUUUCAGUGUAGCAGUGUGAAAAUGACGAAAGUAACCUUGGGCUGUAAUUGUAGGAUUAGAAUUCUCUUUAGUAGAACGGCCCAUUAUUCAUGGACUUUGCCUCUAUGAAGCGCAAUAGUCUUGGACCUGCGCAUUUUAACCUCGACCCGAAAACCCCAACCGGAACCGAUUUGAAAAUAUCCGAAACCGAACCAAAAAUUUACAACUAUCUUUUGGGUCCAAAUUUUUUUUAUCCAAAAGAAUCAGAACCGAAAAGAAUGGACCCGAAUAGAGCCAGACUCGAAAAGGACCGACUCGAAUAUACUUGACCCGAUAAAAACCGAUUGUACCCGACUUAAAAACACGUAUAUACAAACUACGAUUUUUUGUGUUCUAUUAUAUAUAUAUAUAUUAUUUUAUGAUUUAGUUGAAAUAAUUUUUGUUAACAAUAUUUGUUAUUAUUGUGUAACAUUUUAAGUAAUAUGAAGUUUUAAAGUGUAAAAUUUAGAGUUUAAAAAAUGUUUUAUUUUAUUUAUUAAUAGUUUAAUCUAAGUUAUUUUGUAAAAUUUUAAAUAUACAUGACAAAUAUCGACUAAAUUUGAUGGAGUUUGGGUAUAUCAUGUCUUUUUCAGAUCCUAAAUAGACGAACCAGAUCUAGCCCAAUAUUAACCCGAAAAUUACUGGUAUUUUGUAAGUAUUUUAAUUAUAGACCCAAACCAAUCCGAGAAAAACCGAUUCGAAUCCAAACCGAAAAUUUACAAGUUUUUUACUGGAUCUAAAUGUUUAGGACUCAAAAAUCCGGAACCGCCGAAGCCUACCCAAUAUUGUCGACUGUUUGCUUAUUGAAUUUUUGGUCCAGGAGGACCAGGACUAAACCUUUUUUAGCACGACAAGAACAUGUCAAUUCAUUGUCUGCCUGUCAAUUACUAAGUUAUAAUAAGGAUAAAAGAUUUUAAUGGUGAUGAAAAUUCAAACAUGAAGUUUCCCUGUAAAUGUCUCUAUUGAAUAAAAGCGAGGAGCAAGUAGUAUACUACUCAUUGUCUAGUCAUGAUAUACAUCCAAACGUGAUGUGUUUAAAGAACGUACCAUCUCGUCUGCUGCAGAGUCCGAAAAAAAACGUGUAAUUAUUGGAUAAAAGUUGCUAAAAAUUGAUAUAUUACGUUUUUUAAAUGACCACCUUUUUUUUUAACAGGAGGUUCAAAGGUGACCCGUAAUCCGCACGUGGUUUCCGUUUGUCUAAAGGUCCGUAAUGCGCACGUGGUUUUCGAUUGCCAACCAUCUAAUCCCCCUGGCCCGGAACCAGCCGGCACUAAUACCCAUUACCCAAGGACCCGACACCAACGCCGCGAUAACUUUAACUUAGGGAAGGCGUAAAGCGUUCCGUGGUCACAGGGGGUAUUCGAAUCCGGGUCCGUAUUAGUGUGUUAACUACCUCAAGCCCACUAGCCCACCACCCCGUGGUUAAAUGACCACUUAAUGAACAAAAUAAAUGGAAAAAAAUUUGAACAAAAUUCUAUUUAAAAAAAAUUGAACUGAAAAAAAUGUUGACUACAAAGAAACAAAUCGUAAGAAAAAAAUUGAACAAUUAGUAAAAAUAACUAGUAAACAAACAGAUGAAUAGAUGUUUUCAUAACUUAAUAAAUAUAAAUUACCAUCAAUGCACACAUAUCAUGAUACUACGAGAACUUGUCAUAUUCUAUAAAAUAUAGUAAGCAAAAUUCAAAUCAAAAAGAAUGUUAUGUACGAAUAUGAACUCUCUAAUCUUAUGGUAUAGAUAGUAAAAAUAAUGAUCUGAGCUAGAUGGUGACUUGAAACCAUCUCUUUAGCACUCCUCCAUAUUUGUGAUCCGGUUUAUACUAAAGUGAGACCAUCCUAUUCCUCACAGCCUUGUCAAUCAAUCGUUGCAUUUGACCAGUAGCUGUCUAUGUUUGAUGAUGGCGCCUAGCAUUUCUUUCUCUCCACACACAAUAGAUUGUACUCUGAAGCAGAAACUUUGCUAGAAUGAUAUCCCUUCCCUUCUCUCACAUACGCUGCAGUCGAUUGAUUGUCCAUUGCCAAUCUGAAUUGAUUCAAUUUCGAACUAGCCAACGUGCAAGCCGUUUCCAAACUAUGUAUGAAUAUGGUCAAGCGAAGAAGAGAUGGUCUCUUGUCUCAUCUCUUUCUCCACAAAGCUCAUAUCCAUGCACCAUACCCCAUUACCUCAUUGUGUCCCCUGUAGAUACUCUGUUUUAAUGGCUAACCAAGUGAUGAAGGAAAAACGAGGGACUCGUUGUGAGAACCAAACAACUUUACUCCAUAGAACUUUGACCCUUUUACUAAAAGCUGAUCCCAAGUUGUUGAGGCUGAGAAUGUAGGUUGAUAAUCCUCAUCCCCAUGCUUCCACAACACUAUAUUUGUACCGUUCUUAGGUUUAGUAGGGUCAAUCGCCAUGAUGCUACGAUGAAGCUCUUGAAACCAUCAAUUUCUCUGACCUCUAAUGCUCCAUCCUUUCGAGUUCACUGCAUCACUGACUCGGGCAUGUCUUAAUACACCUAAAUAAGUAGUAACAGUAGCUCCCGAGAUAUCAAUCAAUCAGCCCUUCUCCAUCCAAUUAUCAAACCAAAAGUGGCAAUUCUUACCAUCUCUAGUGUUAAUUCUGAGAAAGUAAUAUGCCAUAUCCUUUAAUUUGAGAAGUUUUCUCCAUAUCCAGGAUCCUUUUGAAUCAUCUCUAACAUCCCAAAAAGAGUUGUACCUGAGUAGAUAAUGAGUUACCCAGCUAACCCAAAGAGAGGGAUGUUGAGUGAAUAUCCGCCAUAUGAGCUUCAUAGCGAAAGCUUUACCUGAGUCCUGAAGCUUCUGAAUCCCUAGUCCACCCUCAUCUUUCUGAGAACAGAGAUUUUCCCAGCGCACAUUUGCCUUGUGAGUUUGUGUAGGUGAUCCAUACCAUAAAAAGCAUUAUACAUACUUUCUAAAGUGUUAAGAUACUUGGCAUGCAAGAUGAAUGUAGAACUCCAAAAAUUAAUUGUACUGAAUAUGCCGACAACAUGGGGUCAAACUCACUCAUCUAAGUGUUGCCGACGACAUUCUGGUUUUCACAAAUAGCACUUCAGACUCGCUCUUGGGAGUCAUUGGGUCAUGAACCGGUUCGCAAGUAUGUCAGGAUUACGUAUCAAUAUUGCUAAAUCCUCACUUUAUGCUUCUGGAAGAAAUAUGUCCCCUCUUUUAGAUACAACAUCGGCAUUGUGUAUUGGAGUAGGUGCUUUACUUAUAUGGUACAUGGAUAUGUCAGUUGCUCAUGGAAUCCCUUACCAACCAUGAUUAUGAGCCAUUGAUAGACAAGAUCCAAGGAAGAAUGCUAUGCUGCUAGAUUGAUGCAUUAUUGACAAAACCUGCACUUAUUAGACCAAUCACAAUUUUUAUAAAAAGUUUACAGUUUUGUAAAAGCUAAAAGGAAAUUUGUCAAAACAAAAUAAAAAACAUACUCUUUUUCCCUACAAUAUAAAACCAACCAUAGUUGUCCCUAUAGUAUAAAUUUCUCAUAAUCUCAAAAUUAACCUUUGAUAAAAUAAUUUAAAAAUAUUUAAAUACUAAAAGCGUAUUAUGAAAAAAGAAAUAAAACAUAAAAAUAAUUUUUGAAAUAAAAAAAAUAAAAAAUAAACGCCCCCAAAAUUAAUCUUUGAUAAGAUUUCAUCAUAGAAUAAGAGUUUGUGAAAAUCACAAGAAAACUAUGGAAAAAUAAAUAACAAAUCUUUCGUAGAUGAUGAUAUUUUCUUUCCGUAGACCAUAAUUAAAAAAAAAAAAUUAACAAAAUUGAAAGCCCAAAAAUACAGUUUGUGUAUACGGAUAUUUUAUCAAUUGUUUCUAUUUUCUAAAAAAAAAUAAUUUAUAAAACUUAUUAUUUCAUUAAGUUUGAUAAGUGAAAAUGGUAACUGAGGCAAAAAUGGGACAGAAAAUGUUUUUAUAAUAAAAGAACAAAAAAGCUGUUUUUCAUUCUAUUUUUUUUUAUGAAACCCAAUCAGUAAUUCUCUAGCAAACAAUAACCAGCUGUUUUUGUCCAAAAACGCACUUUACAAUUAUAUUAUAUUGGACACCAUCCCACUAUAUAAAAGAAGCUAUUUUUAAGCUUCCUAAAGCUAUCCACAUGGUCAAAAUAAUCAGGACCAAUCAAAGUGCCAUGUCAUUGUAGACUAGGCUUGGAUACAAAAAUUAAGUUAACCUUUGCAGCCCAUUUAAACCAUUUCGCAGCCCAACCUAAAAUCUAAUUCUCAAAAAUCUAAAAAUCACUCAUCCUCCCCCUAACCUAAACGCCGUCUCAUAAUGGUUUCCAGAAGCUGAUAAGAUCAAAGAUUCAACUAGACAAAGCAAGCAGCUUGAGGAACCAAAAGUUAUGGAUUGGCGUUGUUUUAUCGGCUUUUUCAGUUCAAGUUUAUUUUGUGAAGAAGAGUAUUUGUUGCUUGGGUCAUCUUCUUGCAUUUUCAUGCGAUUGAGUUUGUAAGUCUCAGAAGCAUCUUUACGGUUUGUUUUCUGAUGGAAUGUACUGUUUCAUAAUUGCAAUGCGUACUUCUUUUCAUUAUAUAUGGAUGAGAUGAGAUGUGACCGAAUAAAUUUCGAAACAUGAUUCAAUUAUCUCCAUAUUUAUUAUGUGUGAUUCAUGCCAGAUUGGUUAAAGACAUUGACUGUGAAGCUCUCCUGAAUUUUAAGUAAGCAAUUAAAUGACUAUAAACAAUUUGUGGUCUGAUUUAUUAUAUGCUAAAUUUUAUACAUAUGAACUUAGUAAAUAGUUCUUUUUUUUGCCACUGAGAGGACAUAGACAACAUGGGAGCAGAAAUAAAUGUUACCCUCAUCUCAGAGGCUAGGGGUUCCUCAACGAUUCUUUGGUGUGCUUAGAAUCUGGGCCUUUAGAGGAUAUUCAGAAUCGGAUACAUGAUGCGCUGGAGGAAUUUGCAAUAACGGGUAAUUGCCACAUUAGCACUUAUUUUUAAGCAUCUGACACUAUUUUGGUGGCGUAUAUAAGUUAAAAGAUAGUGAAUUAUUUUCCAACAUUUGUAGCCAAUAAUGACUUAGAUCUCAUACAAGAAAGGAAAUGCCAACUUGGACUUUUCAGGUGGCUCUUAUAUCUAUGUCUCUCGAAAGACAUGUCUCUUAGCUGGAACAGAGGAUGUGCACUUAGGUUAUAAAUUAUAGGACUGGGCCGAGGGAUAGGCCGCAACGUUGGGUUUGGAGGAUUGCAAGGAGAAUGUUGACAGAGAUGGUGGCGAUGACAUAAGUUAAAAUGGCGGUAAAGAGAAGAAACAUGUGGUGUUGGACUCCAACAAAAGUUAACUAUUUUAGGAUGUUUUUUAACCAGUAUUCAACUUCUGAGCAGCCACUGAUCGAUAUGUGUAAAAGCGAAAUCGUAGACCUGUGUAUGUGAAAGAGAAAAAAAUAAGCAGUUGAAGAAUCAGGUGGAAAAAUAAGGGAUACUUUUAUGCAACGAUUGUUAUUUUCAGAUCAGCUUUCUCUAUUUGUAGCAGAGAAUAUAAAGACAAAUAAGUUUUG